GACCUAGUGGUGUAGUGGUAACAUAUCAACAUGAAGUAACCAGGUAGGAUCCAAGUUUCAGUAGAGGACCCCUGUUCAAUUCAGGGCUGGGUCA